rnacentral:rRNA from 1 species
GCUAAUCCUACUAGAGAGUCCUUAUCAAAAGUAGGGGUUGGCACCUCGAUGUUGGCUUAGGGAAUCUAUACGACGCAAAAGUCGUAUUAAGACGGUUUGUUCAACCAAUAAAACCCUACAUGAGCUGAGUUCAGACCGGCGCAAGCCAGGUUAGUUUCUAUCCACGAUAAAUAAAUCUAUUUAUAGUACGAAAGGACCUAAAUAAGAAUAAUAAUUAUACAUAAAGAAUAAAUAUAACAUAUAAUAAUAAUAAUAAAAAUACAUAUAUUAUG